rnacentral:rRNA from 1 species
UGGAUCCAGACUUUGAUUCUGGCUCAGGACGAACGCUGGCGGCGUGCCUAACACAUGCAAGUCGAACGAAGCUUGAUUUAUGAUUUCUUCGGAAUGAAUAAUGAUAUGACUGAGUGGCGGACGGGUGAGUAACGCGUGAGCAACCUGCCCUUCGGAACGGGAUAGCGUCUGGAAACGGACGGUAAUACCGUAUAACGUAUUUUUACCGCAUGAUAGAAAUACCAAAACUGAGGUGCCGAAGGAUGGGCUCGCGUCUGAUUAGAUAGUUGGUGCGGUAACGGCCUACCAAGUCGACGAUCAGUAGCCGGACUGAGAGGUUGAACGGCCACAUUGGGACUGAGACACGGCCCAGACUCUUACGGGAGGCAGCAGUGGGGAAUAUUGCACAAUGGGGGAAACCCUGAUGCAGCAACGCCGCGUGAAGGAAGACGGUUUUCGGAUUGUAAACUUCUGUUCUUAGUGAAGAUAAUGACGGUAGCUAAGGAGCAAGCCACGGCUAACUACGUGCCAGCAGCCGCGGUAAUACGUAGGUGGCAAGCGUUGUCCGGAAUUACUGGGUGUAAAGGGAGCGUAGGCGGGAAGCCAAGUCAGCUGUGAAAACUACGGGCUUAACCUGUAGACUGCAGUUGAAACUGGUUUUCUUGAGUGAAGUAGAGGUUGGCGGAAUUCCGAGUGUAGCGGUGAAAUGCGUAGAUAUACGGAGGAACACCGGUGGCGAAGGCGGCCAACUGGGCUUUAACUGACGCUGAGGCUCGAAAGUGUGGGGAGCAAACAGGAUUAGAUACCCUGGUAGUCCACACUGUAAACGAUGAUAACUAGGUGUGGGGGGUCUGACCCCUUCCGUGCCGCAGCUAACGCAAUAAGUUAUCCACCUGGGGAGUACGACCGCAAGGUUGCAACUCAAAUGAAUUGACGGA